GACGAACGCUGGCGGCGUGCCUAAUACAUGCAAGUAGAACGCUGAAGGAGGAGCUUGCUUCUCUGGAUGAGUUGCGAACGGGUGAGUAACGCGUAGGUAACCUGCCUGGUAGCGGGGGAUAACUAUUGGAAACGAUAGCUAAUACCGCAUAAUAGUAGAUGUUGCAUGACAUUUGCUUAAAAGGUGCAAUUGCAUCACUACCAGAUGGACCUGCGUUGUAUUAGCUAGUUGGUGGGGUAACGGCUCACCAAGGCGACGAUACAUAGCCGACCUGAGAGGGGGAACGGGCACACUGGGGCUUAGAAAACGCCCAGAACUCCAAGGGAGGCAGCAGUAGGGAAUCCUACGGAAUUGAACGAAAUCCGAACGAGCAACGCCGGGUGAGUGAAGGAGGGUUUCCGAUUGGAAAGGUCUGUUGUAAGAGAAGAACGAGUGUGAGAGUGGAAAGUUCACACUGUGACGGUAUCUUACCAGAAAGGGACGGCUAACUACGUG
rnacentral:rRNA from 1 species